UACGUAGGGUGCGAGCGUUAAUCGGAAUUACUGGGCGUAAAGCGUGCGCAGGCGGCGCGUUAAGCCAGGUGUGAAAGCCCCGAGCUUAACUUGGGAAUUGCGCUUGUGACUGGCGUGCUGGAGUGUGGCAGAGGGAGGUGGAAUUCCACGUGUAGCAGUGAAAUGCGUAGAGAUGUGGAGGAACACCGAUGGCGAAGGCAGCCUCCUGGGCCAGCACUGACGCUCAUGCACGAAAGCGUGGGGAGCGAACAGG
rnacentral:rRNA from 1 species